rnacentral:lncRNA from 1 species
UGAAGAUUAGUGAAACUGAAGAGAAAACACCCUGUUAGAGCCACCUUAAUGUAUCGUAGAGGGUGACAUUCUUGGAGACGCUAUCAAAGGAGAGAGAUUGCAGCAAGAAGCGCUGUGUUGAUAACCCUCGGAGUAACUUCACUCACAGCAUUGGUGUGGAUUGCUCUCUGAAUGUGAAUUUCACGCUUGAUGACUAGGCUGGAGCACUGGUACCAAUUAAUCUUGAUUGUCAACCUGACUGGACUGAGCGACUCCUAGAGAGGUGAUUUCACUGUGGGAAUAUUAACCUCAUCAGUGGUUAACCUGUUGGUGAGUUGUUAAGAAUAGGUGAAUAGGUUGUUAAGAGGUGGUACCUUGGAUAAAGUA